GCCCGACUAGCUCAUCGGUAGAGCGCCUCACUAGUAUACCCACAUCAGGUAAUAUUGAAAUGAGGAGGCAACAGGUUCGAUUCCUGUGUUGGGCA